rnacentral:rRNA from 1 species
AACGAACGCUGGCGGCAUGCCUAACACAUGCAAGUCGAACGAAGGCUUCGGCCUUAGUGGCGCACGGGUGAGUAACGCGUGGGAAACUGCCUAUUGGUGGGGAAUAACGACGGGAAACUGUCGCUAAUACCGCAUAAUCCCUUCGGGGGAAAGAUUUAUCGCCGAUAGAUUGGGACGCGUCCGAUUAGAUAGUUGGUGAGGUAAUGUCUCACCAAGGCGACGAUCGGUAGCUGGUCUGAGAGGAUGAUCAGCCACACUGGGACUGAGACACGGCUCAGACUCCUACGGGAGGCAGCAGUGGGGAAUAUUGGACAAUGGGCGAAAGCCUGAUCCAGCAAUGCCGCGUGAGUGAUGAAGGCCUUAGGGUUGUAAAGCUCUUUCGGGUGGGACGAUGAUGACGGUACCACCAGAAGAAGCCCCGGCUAACUUCGUGCCAGCCGCCGCGGUAA